rnacentral:snRNA from 1 species
AUGGAUUUAAUAAAAAAAAAAAAAAAAAUCUGUUCUUAUCAGUUUAAUAUCUGAUACGUCCCCCAUCCGGGGACUACAUAUUAAAUGGAUUUUUAGAUCACGGAGCUGGAGCCGGGGCUUGCUCCGUCCACUCCAUGCAUCGGCCUGGUAUUGCAGUGUCUCCAGGAACGGUGUGCUUUCC